GACGAGCCACACGAACGUUAUUCGGAAUUACUGGGCUUAAAGGGUGCGUAGGCGGCGCGGUAAGUCGGGUGUGAAAUCUCGGAGCUUAACUCCGAAACUGCAUUCGAUACUGCCGUGCUUGAGGACUGGAGAGGAGACUGGAAUUUACGGUGUAGCGGUGAAAUGCGUAGAUAUCGAGAGGAACACUUAUAGCGAAAGCAAGACCCUGGGCAGAAUCUGACGCUCAAACACGAAGGCCAGGGGAGCGAACGGG
rnacentral:rRNA from 1 species